GCAGAGGAGAAGUUAACAACAAUCAAAGUCUCGUAUAUAAACUGGGACAAGCUAGGGAAGUCUUUCAUAUCAAAGCCUGAGUGGCCCCUCCUCCUUUAUUAAAUGUUUUAAAUAUUUAUGUUUUUAUUUUUAUUUUCGGAACCUGAAAACAUUGACUUCACCGAUUUUUAAACCGGAUUAUAUUAUAAGUUCCUUUUGCAGAUAUUAUUUGGGUGUCCUAUUAUUUAUAUUUUUUAUCUGGAUUGCUUCGUUUUGCUAAAGUAAAGGUUCAACUUUGUCAUACUUUGGCAAAUUUUUACCCCACAGCUUUUGUCACAUUGACAACUUCUAGGAUUACGUUGGAUAAGAAGUAGAGAAAAGCCGUUUUCAGUCCACACGAGUUGGUACGAUUUGUCAAUGACUUUUGUCACAUUCUUAGGUCAUUGACAAAUCGUACGAUGAGCUGGAUAAGAUGUAGAGAGAAGCCUGUCAAAGUUACACUAUAUUUUAAUAUAUAUAUAUAUAUAUAUAUUUAGAAGCUAUAAAACAGUUAUUUCUUAAAAUUUUAGAUGGCAAGAUGAAUGUUUAUUUGGUUUGUCCUUGACCGGUCAUGUGUAAUCUAUAUAUAUAAAGUAGAGCUACUCUCUCCUGUGAAAGCGCCACGUCGCUAAAUCGUUCGACUACAGGCACGUGUCCUGAUUUAUUUAACGCUGUGCAUCAUUUUUUUGGUGGGUGCGUGGAUUUCGUUUCUGUGUUGUGUUUUGGGCUGUGUCCGGCCCGUUAGAGCAGAAGUCCUAAGUAACCCUAAUUUGACUCCAGAGAAAAACGAGCGGAACGAGCGUCUUCUUCCCUGUACGUGCGACGCCGACCAGAUACAGAUUCCAGGUCCGUGAUCAAUUCCAUUAGUUCACCCCCACUAUUUCGUCUUCAAUGCUUCGUUUUGAUCUGAAAGGCGGUUGUUAUUGGGUAUAAAUAUGUGUGAGUGUUUCUCCCUUUAUCUCAUCUUAUCUUGCAUCUCUUAAAUCUGCUACUCUCUCCGGUGAGAGCGCCACGUCACUAAAUCGUUCGACGACAGGACGACACGUGUCCUGAUUUAUUUAAAUGCUGCGCAUCAUUUUCUCGCUGGUUACUUGGGCUUCGUUUAUGUGUUGUGUUUUGGGCUGUGUCCGGCCCGUUAGAGCAGAAGUCCUAAAUAACCAUAAUUUGACUCCAGAGAAAAAUGAACGUUUUCUUCUUCCAUGUACGUGCGACGCCGACCAGAUGCCGAUUCCACUUCUUCUCAUCGACUGAAACGGUCCGUGAUCAAUUCCAUUAGUUCACUCCCCCACUAUUUCGUCUUCAAUGCUUCAUUUUGAUCUGAAAGACGAUUGUUAUUGGGUAUAAAUAUGUGUAAGUGUUUCUCCAUUUAUCUCAUCUUAUCUUGCAUAUCUUAAAUCUCAGCUACUCUCUCCUGUGAGAGCGCCACGUCACUAAAUCGUUCGACGACAGGACGACACGUGUCCUAAUUUAUUUAAACGCUGCGCAUCAUUUUCUCGCUGGUUACUUGGGCUUCGUUUAUGUGUUGUGUUUUGGGCUGUAUCCAGCCCGUUAGAGCAGAAGUCUUAAAUAACCCUAAUUUGACUCCAGAGAAAAACGAGCGUUUUUUUCUUCCUUGUACGUGUGACGCCGACCAGAUGCCGAUUCCACUUCUUCUCAUCGACUGAAACGGUCCGUGAUCAAUUCCAUUAGUUCACUCCCCCACUAUUUCGUCUUCAAUGCUUCGUUUUGAUCUGAAAGGCGGUUGUUAUUAGGUAUAAAUAUGUGUGAGUGUUUCUCCCUUUAUCUCAUUUUAUCUUACAUCCCUUAAAUCGCAUACUAACUGAUCGUGUUAUGGCCUGCUUCUUUGUUUGUCGACAUUUUUUCGGCGAGCCUCUUACUGUUUGUUCAACAAAUUUUUUUUCCUUCGUUUCCGGGGAGUCCCUUACUGUUUGUUCAUCGACAUUCUUUUGAAUCGGCGAGCCUUUUACUGUUUGUUCACGAAUUUUUUUUCUUGGAUCUUCUUCCUCUUUGUUAACCAUCUUAAAAAUAAUUUGGCUGCAGAGAAGAUACGUCGUGGUGGUGACCUACUGUCGAACCUUUCCUGUUUGUUCAUCAAAAUUUUUAUUUUUUUGCUUGGAUCUUCUUCGUGUUUGUAGAGAUAGGUUUUUGAUUCUGCUUUUAUAUGUGACCCAGUAUUGUAGUCAUUCUGCUACUAAACAUGUGUGAGUUUAGUAAUAUAUGUGGUCUGACGGGAGAUGGUGUUCUUAGUUUUAUUCACUGUUUAAUUGUGGCAGGUGGGGGGACCAUAAAUAUAUUACUAACUGCAAGGUUGAAGCAGAGGAAAGAAGAACCAAUUUGCGUCUGAGAGAGGAACAAGAUGCUGCUUACAGGGCUGCUCUUGAAGCCGAUCAAGCACGGGAGAGACAGAGAGAGGAAGAGGGGGAGCGGUUAGAGAGGGAAGCUGCUGAGGCAUAGAGGAAACGAAAAGAAGAAGAAAAGGCUCGGGAGAGAGCCGAGCGUGAAGCUGUAGAGAGAGAAGCUGCUAGAGUGAGAAUGAGACAAGAGAAAGCACCUGCUCUUGGAGACGAACCUGAGAAAGGACCUGAUGUUACCCAAGUUUUGGUAAGGUUCCCGAAUGGAGAAAGAAAAGGGAGGAGGUUUGAAAGCAAUAUCAAGAUAUAGACACUGUAUGACUGCAUUGAUUCACUUGGAGUGCUAGAAACAGAAGAGUAUAGUUUAAUCACAAACUUUCCAAAGAACCAUGUACGGAAGAGACAAAGAGUCAAUGUCACUGAAAGAUGCAGGUUUGCAUCCUCAGGCAAGUCUCUUCAUUGAGAUACAUUAAAUUUCAGAAUCUUUUGAUACUUUCUCCUUAAGCCACUCUUUCCUGCUUUUUUUCAACUCUUUUAAAAUAAUUAGUAGUGUAGCUUCAGUGAUCCGAUGAAUAAGAUAACAUAUAUAUACACAUAUUUUCAGAAGUUCAGAUUUGAUAAAUUUAUUCCUUAAAAUGAUGAGGGCUCACAUUGUACUUUUUUCUUGGUGUCAUAUUGAAGACAUCAAGAUGAGUCUUUGUUUUUAGCUGCAACAAACAAUUCUUUAGCUGGUGAAUUUCGGCAGAUCAAAAAUGUGUUAUAUAUUGUGAACUGGAAGAAAAAAUGUAUGAAAACGUACAAUUGAAUAAAAAGGUCAAAAAUAAAAAUAUUGAUGACAAUAUAAAAUAUUUAUAUAUUGGUGGUAAGCUAACUAAAUGAUUUCUAACAAUGAUAAUAUAAUAAAUAGUAAAAAUUGUAAGAAAAAAUUGUAAGAAUAAUAUAAUACGAAAAUGAUUUUUUGGUUAAGUCAAAACUUAAUUACAUCAUUAGUCAUGAUAAAAUUAGUAUUAUUAUAAGUUCAGAUAUUUUGUUUGCUGCCAUCUCAACAAACGAGAAAAGAA